AUUUAUUUGAGAUUAAUAUGAUUUUUGAGAAUUUGUUCUCUUUCUCAAGGAUUGAUCCUUGUUCUUGUUUGUUCUACAUCACAUUUUGAAGCUGAAAACCUAAAUAUUAAAGACAAAGAAAGACAAGUGUAUGAACAUAUUGAGCUUAAUUAAACACAUGCCUCAAUAAGGGAUAAAAGAAGAAAUGUUUUAACAAUCAAGUCUUAAAAGUAAAAUCUUUACAAUCAAAUACUAAUUCUUUUCAAAUCGCUCGCUGUUAGUCCUAUUUGGUUUGUCAACGCUAGAUCAGUGUUGUUAAAGGUGACCAAAGGCACCAGGCGAGGCGCCUCGCCUGGCUGAAGAGAGUCCAAUUCAAAUAGGCGAGUGCCUGAGACUGGUAAGGUGAGAAGCGCUAGGGCAAUGCCUCUUCAAAAUAACGUUCUCUUUCACCUUUUUUUAUAUUUUUUUAAACAACAUAAAACUAAAAAAAAUAAAAUAAAAUCUUAAAAACUAAUUAAAAAAUUGGAGUGGCUAUACUCUUACCUAAGUUCCAAAAACAUAUAA
rnacentral:misc_RNA from 1 species